GCGGGCGUGGUGAAACUGGUAGACACAAGGGACUUAAAAUCCCUCGGCUAACGCUGUACGGGUUCGAUUCCCGUCGCCCGCA
rfam:Devosia soli strain GH2-10 NODE_14, whole genome shotgun sequence.